rnacentral:rRNA from 1 species
GACGAACGCUGGCGGCGUGCUUAACACAUGCAAGUCGAACGGAAAGGCCCUGCUUUUGUGGGGUGCUCGAGUGGCGAACGGGUGAGUAACACGUGAGUAACCUGCCCUUGACUUUGGGAUAACUUCAGGAAACUGGGGCUAAUACCGGAUAGGAGCUCCUGCUGCAUGGAGGGGGUUGGAAAGUUUCGGCGGUUGGGGAUGGACUCGCGGCUUAUCAGCUUGUUGGUGGGGUAGUGGCUUACCAAGGCUUUGACGGGUAGCCGGCCUGGGAGGGUGACCGGCCACCUUGGGACUUCGCUCCGGCCCAGACUCCUACGGGCGGCAGCGGUGGGGAAUAUUGCACAAUGGGCGGAAUCCUGAUGCAGCAACGCCGCGUGCGGGAUGACGGCCUUCGGGUUGUAAACCGCUUUCGCCUGUGACGAAGCGUUAGUGACGGUAAUGGGUAAAGAAGCACCGGCUAACUACGUG